rnacentral:rRNA from 1 species
UACGUAGGGUGCAAGCGUUGUCCGGAAUUAUUGGGCGUAAAGAGCUCGUAGGCGGCUUGUUGCGUCGGCUGUGAAAACCCGGGGCUCAACCCCGGGCCUGCAGUCGAUACGGGCAGGCUAGAGUCCGGUAGGGGAGACUGGAAUUCCUGGUGUAGCGGUGAAAUGCGCAGAUAUCAGGAGGAACACCGGUGGCGAAGGCGGGUCUCUGGGCCGGAACUGACGCUAAGGAGCGAAAGCGUGGGGAGCGAACAGG